rnacentral:tRNA from 1 species
UGCUGUUUAGCUCAGUUGGGUAGAGCGAUCGCAUGAGGAGCGGUAAGCGCCGGUUCGAGUCCGGCAAUGGCGA